rnacentral:rRNA from 1 species
GAUGAACGCUGGCGGCGUGCCUAAUACAUGCAAGUCGAGCGAACAGAUAAGGAGCUUGCUCCUUUGACGUUAGCGGCGGACGGGUGAGUAACACGUGGGUAACCUACCUAUAAGACUGGAAUAACUCCGGGAAACCGGGGCUAAUGCCGGAUAACAUUUAGAACCGCAUGGUUCUAAAGUGAAAGAUGGUUUUGCUAUCACUUAUAGAUGGACCCGCGCCGUAUUAGCUAGUUGGUAAGGUAACGGCUUACCAAGGCAACGAUACGUAGCCGACCUGAGAGGGUGAUCGGCCACACUGGAACUGAGACACGGUCCAGACUCCUACGGGAGGCAGCAGUAGGGAAUCUUCCGCAAUGGGCGAAAGCCUGACGGAGCAACGCCGCGUGAGUGAUGAAGGUCUUCGGAUCGUAAAACUCUGUUAUUAGGGAAGAACAAAUGUGCAAGUAACUGUGCACGUCUUGACGGUACCUAAUCAGAAAGCCACGGCUAACUACGUG